AGGUUGAUAUCAAUAAAAUGAAGAAAAAAUAUUACUCCUAAGAAGAAGGUCUUAAUUUGAGGGAAGUUAAGUCACUAAAAAAAUGAAACAUCCGAAUAUCGUAAAACUUACGGAAGUCAUUAGAGUGAACGGUGUAUUGGUACCACCAAAUGGAUAUGGUCAUGAACUAGACAAGUUUUCGAUUGGUACAAAAGUUAAAA